AAGUCGUAACAAGGUUUCCGUAGGUGAACCUGCGGAAGGAUCAUUAACAAAUUUCAUAUACACUUGUGUGAUGUUUGUGUGUUGUGAUGUGUGUUUACGAUCGUCAGAUUGUUUACAUGUAAACACACACAAACAUCACAAAGUAUACACGAUAAGAUUGACGAAAUGAGAGACAAAAAGAAAAACAACUUUUAACAAUGGAUCUCUUGGUUCUUGCAUCGAUGAAGAACGCGGCGAACUGCGAAAAGUAAUGUGACCUGCACCCUUUGUGAAUCAUCCAAUUUUUGAACGCAAUUUGCACCUUGAUCCGUCAGGAUUGGGGUAUACUUGUUUGAGCAUAUACUAUCACUUUUAUUUGUGUUGUGUUUUCACGACAUUGAUGUGUUGACUGACUUUUUGAGUCGGUUUAAAUGAAUCGAGCGAGUCUGCUGGGAUAACAAUCUGAGCAGAUUUGAUGCCUGUUUGGUGUUUGUUUUGUAUGUGCAUUAAUUUGCGCGCAAUACACACAACAAACACACACCUAUAUAUAUCUCAAAUCAAGCAAGGAUACCCGCUGGAUUUAAGCAUAUUAAUAAGCGGAGGAAAAGAAACUAACAAGGAUUCCUUUAGUAGCGGCGAGCGAAGAGGGAAGAGUUCAAGCUUUGAAUCAAACAGAAAUGGUUGAAUUGUGAGCUAAAGACCGAUUUGGUGUUGAUGAUGAAUGCUCCGAGAUCUUUGGAACAAGACAACAAAGAGGGUGAUAUUCCCGUUUUGGGUGUUUAUCGUCAAUGCAUACAAGUCGGUUGAAGAGUCGGAUUGUUUGGGAAUGCAGUCCAAAAUGGGUGGUACACUCCAUCUAAAGCUAAAUAAUGGCAAGAGACCGAUAGCGAACAAGUACCGUGAGGGAAAGAUGAAAAGAACUUUGAAAAGAGAGUUAAAUAGGACGUGAAAUUGUUAAAAGGGAAACGAUUGAGAUUAGUGAUGAUGAUUGGAUGUCAGCUUUUCAGAAGAAGAGUGUAGUGUUCGAUGAUCAAGUUGACUGUGAUUUUGUGUUUGGGAAAAAGACAAGAGGAAUGUGACAUUUUUUGGUGUUUUAUAGACUUUUGCUUAUACUGAAUGCGAGAUGACAGGGAGACGAAAUGAUCUUAAACGACC
rnacentral:rRNA from 1 species